GAUGAAGAACGUAGCGAAAUGCGAUAAGUAGUGUGAAUUGCAGAAUUCAGUGAAUCAUCGAAUCUUUGAACGCACCUUGCGCUCCUUGGUAUUCCGAGGAGCAUGCCUGUUUGAGUGUCAUGAAAUUCUCAACCUUUUCAGCUUUCUUUGUUGAUCAGGCUUGGAUGUGGGAGUAUGCGGGCUUCUCAGAAGUCGGCUCUCCUGAAAUGCAUUAGCGGGACCUUUGUUGCCUGGCUUUGGUGUGAUAAUUAUCUACGCCAUUGUGGUCAAGCAGCUUAAAAUGAGGUUUCAGCUUCUAACCGUCUCCCCUGAGACAACUUUUUGACAAUUUGACCUCAAAUCAGGUAGGACUACCCGCUGAACUUAAGCAUAUCAAUAAGCGGAGGA
rnacentral:misc_RNA from 1 species